rnacentral:rRNA from 1 species
GAUCAUGGCUCAGGAUGAACGCUAGCUACAGGCUUAACACAUGCAAGUCGAGGGGCAGCAUGGUCUUAGCUUGCUAAGAUUGAUGGCGACCGGCGCACGGGUGAGUAACGCGUAUCCAACCUUCCCUAUAGUAGGGGAUAGCCCGUAGAAAUGCGGAUUAAUACCCUAUGUUGUAUUUUGAGGACAUCUGACGAAUACCAAAGGUUUACCGCUAUAGGAUGGGGAUGCGUCUGAUUAGGUUGUUGGCGGGGUAACGGCCCACCAAGCCUACGAUCAGUAGGGUUCUGAGAGGAAGGUCCCCCACAUUGGAACUGAGACACGGUCCAAACUCCUACGGGAGGCAGCAGUGAGGAAUAUUGGUCAAUGGGCGAGAGCCUGAACCAGCCAAGUAGCGUUGCAGGAUGACGGCCCUAUGGGUUGUAAACUGCUUUUAUGCGGGGAUAAAGUGAGGGACGUGUCCCUUAUUGUAGGUACCGCAUGAAUAAGGACCGGCUAAUUCCGUGCCAGCCGCGGC